rnacentral:rRNA from 1 species
CCUACGGGUGGCAGCAGUGAGGAAUAUUGGUCAAUGGGCGCGAGCCUGAACCAGCCAAGUAGCGUGAAGGAUGACUGCCCUACGGGUUGUAAACUUCUUUUAUAAAGGAAUAAAGUGAGGCACGUGUGCCUUUUUGUAUGUACUUUAUGAAUAAGGAUCGGCUAACUCCGUGCCAGCAGCCGCGGUAAUACGGAGGAGCCGAGCGUUAUCCGGAUUUAUUGGGUGUAAAGGGAGCGUAGAUGGGUUGGUAAGUCAGUUGUGAAAGUUUGGGGCUCAACCGUAAAAUUGCAAUUGAUACUGGGAGUCUUGAGUACAGGAGAGGGAGGCGGAAUUCGUGGUGUAGCGGUGAAAUGCGUAGAUAUCAAGAAGAACACCGAUUGCGAAGGCAGCUUACUAAACUGCCACUGACAUUGAUGCUCGAAAGUGUGGGUAUCAAACAGGAUUAGAUACCCCAGUAGUC